GCUAAUAGUCCUUUAAAAGUAUUUAAAAAGAUAAAAUAAGGGCAAAAAUAAAGUAAGCAGAAAGUGAGAUUAGUGAAAUUGACAGCAGAAAAAAAUAUUUUAAAAAAAUGAACCCAAAAACCCAAAUAUUGUUGUUUUUUUUUCAUGCCGGGGAUCAAACUGGGGCCUUGUGCUGUGUGCUCAGCCCAAAAGUCGACCAUUUUAAAUAACCAAUAGAACUGAUAAACCUCUAGCCAUACUAAUAAAAAGGAAGGGAGGAGAGAAGACACAAAUUACCAAUUCAAGAAUAAAAGGGGAUAUUACCAGAGAUCACAAGGGUUAAUAAGAGAACCCUAUAAUUCUACACACAAAUUCAGUAGUAGGCAAAAUUGGCCAAAUCCUUGUCCUGUGGUAUGAAUCUUUUUUCCCCUCCACAAUUCAUAUUGGAACUUAAUUCCCUCUGCAACUAUGUUGGGAGGUAGGGCUUAAUGGGAGGUGAUAGGUCAUGAGGGCUCUGACCUCAUGAAUAAAUUAAUGAUGUAAUAGAAAGGGUUUUUAAGACUGGGUUCACACUCUUACGUGAGGAACAUCACUCCUUCCCUGUAGAGGAUGCAGUAUUCAAGGUUCCUUCUUAGGAACAGGUACUGGGAACUCACCAAACACCAAGACUGCCAGCACCUUGAUUUUGGACUUCUCAAUCUUUAGAACUGUGAGAAAUAAAUUUCUGUUUUUUUUAUAAUUUAUCCCAUCUGGGGUGUGCUGUUAUAGUAGCACAAAAGGGUCUAAGGCAUCUUGAAAGCCAAAAAUUACCAAAACUCACACAAGAGAAGAUGUAAACACAAAAUGUACAGCCAUAAAAAUUAUAGACGAUCUUAUAGGAGAAAUCAACUCAUAGUUAAGCAAAGAGUUCUUAUGAUAUAAAAAACAUGAUUCGGGGCUGGGGAUGUGGCUCAAGCGGUAGCAAAACUAAAAAAUAAAUAUUAAAAUUCUCUCUCUCUCUCUCUCUCUCUCUGUCUCUAAAAAAAAAUAAUAAUAAAAAUAAAAAACAUGAUUCAUGUCUUGCAAGGUGGCACACACUUAUGAUGCCAGCUACUCUGGAGACUGAGGCAGGAGGAUCACAAGUUCAAGACCAGCCUGGGCAAUUUAGCAAGACCCUGUUUCAAAAGGAUGAGUAGGUGAGGAUGUAAUUCAGUGGUAGAGUGCCCCUGGGAUCAAUUCUCAGUGCCACAGAACAAUAAAUAGCUAUAAUGAUGGUAAAUAAGCAUAUGAAAAGAUGCUCAAUAUGGUUAGCCAUUAAGGAGAUGCAAAUUAAAACCACAAUGAAGCUUGCACAGGUGGUGCACACCUGUAAUUCCAGCAACUUGGGAGGCUGAGGCAGGAGGAUUACUUGAGCCCAGAAGUUCCAGACGAGUCUGGGCAACAUAGUGAAACCACUUCAAACAAAAAACCAGACAUACUGAGUUACUGACAUACUAAUAGCUAUUAUUUCAAACACUGUACUAUUACUUGGGUAAAUUUUAAUAGAAAAAUGUGUUUAAACCAUCAAGAAACUUUUUAUUUAAAGGACUCCAGUGGUAAAUCAUUCUGUACAGUAUAUUAAUAACAUUUACGUCAAUGUUUUGAGUCCUGGCUCUUGCUGGCCGCAAGAGGCUGUGUGAUAUUGACCUUCACCUGUUUCUUCAGUAGUAAACAGGAGCCUGGGGGGCGGGGGUUGGAUAUCUGUAAUUGCUGCAUUGGAUCCUUUGCAACCUCAAGAUUUUGCUUUUGUAAGUAAAGUGGUCCUACUGUCACAUUUCAGAAUUCCCAGAGCAAGUGAUCUGUAAAGUCUCAUCAACUUUGAAAUUGUCAUUUAUAUCAAACACUGGGUUGUUUAAAUAACGCUCAUCUACACUGAGAUUCAGCUUGUCUUGCUAAGUUGCUUAGGGCCUCUCUAAGUUCUUGAGCCUGGCUUCAAACCUGUGAUCCUCCUGCUUCGGCCUCCUGGGCCGCUAGGAUUACAGGUGUGAACCACC
rnacentral:lncRNA from 1 species